rnacentral:rRNA from 1 species
CCUACGGGGAGCUGCAGUGGGGGAUAUUGCACAAUGGGGGAAACCCUGAUGCAGUGACGCCGCGUGUGGGAAGACGGUCUUCUGGAUUGUAAACCACUGUCCCCAGGGACGAAAAUGACGGUACCUGGGGAGGAAGCUCCGGCUAACUACGUGCCAGCAGCCGCGGUAAUCCGUAGGGAGCAAGCGUUGUCCGGAAUUACUGGGUGUAAAGGGAGCGUAGGCGGGGAUGCAAGUUGGGUGUAAAAACUACCGGCUCAACCGAUAGUCGCACUCAAAACUGCAACUCUUGAGUGAAGUAGAGGCAGGCGGAAUUCCUAGUGUAGCGGUGAAAUGCGUAGAUAUUAGGAGGAACACCAGUGGCGAAGGCGGCCUGCUGUGCUGUGACUGACGCUGAGGCUCGAAAGUGUGGGGAGCAAACAGGAUUAGAUACCCUAGUAGUC